rnacentral:piRNA from 1 species
UCAUUUUGAAACGUGGACAAGCCAAGG